CUUGUGUCGACGGGUCGCCACGUGUGAUAUUAUAAGGAUACAACAAAAACUGAUUUUUAACAUCAUGCCUCCUAAAAGGGCACCUUGGUGCGAGGAGGAUUUAAUAUCAGCAGUUCGAUCUGUUCAACGCGGUACUCUAAGUACAUAUGGGUCGGCGGCAAGGUUUAAUAUUCCCAGAAGAACCAUUAGAACCAUGUUUAGAAUGGAAUCCUAAUAAAAAGACUAGGUCGUAAAUCUAUUUUAAAAGAAGAACAAGAAGCUGAUCUCGUUAAAAGAAUAAUAAGAUUUAGUGAAAUAGGUCUACCUGUGACUCCACGGAUCCUUCAUCGAUUGGUAUUCAGAUUCUGCGAAGAUAAUAAAAUUGCUUAUCAAUUUAAUACAACUUCAAAACUUGCUGGUAAAGACUGGCUAAAGGCUUUUAUGAAGAGAAAUCCUGUAAUUUUUAAAAGAAAAGCACAUUUUAUGAAUCCAGCUAGGGCUCAAAAACUUAAUAAAUUUAUAGUUGAUGAACAUUUUUCAAAAAUAGGGAAAAUGUAUGAUGAUCUUGAUAUAAUUAAUCACCCUGAAAGACUUUAUAAUAUGGAUGAAAAAGGAUGCCGCUUGACUAUUCACCACCAGUCAUCCGUUUUAGCUAAGAAAGGGGUAAAACGUGUUCACUUUCAAUCGUCAGAACAUGCAGAGAGUGUGACAAUUGCAGGAUGUGUCAAUGCCCUUGGAAUACCAAUACCUUCUAUGAUUAUUUUUAAAGGAAAGAGGCUAAAGCAAGAAUUACAUGAUAAUUUGCCACCAGGAACUCUAGUGGAAAAAUCAAGUAAAGGCUACAUGACUAACGAACUUUUUAAAGAAUUCCUCAAGCACUUAGCCCGAUACAAAAAUCCAGGAAGGUGCCUCUUAGUUUUUGAUGGUGCAGCUUGUCAUCUUGAUUUGUCAAUUGUUGAUGUUGGAGACUCACUUGAUAUAGAUCUCUACUGUUUGCCAUCGAAUACAACACAUGAGCUUCAAUCCCUCGACAAAUCUGUAUAUCGUUCAUUUGAGCAUCAUUGGGAUAAUGAGGUAUUAUUAUUCUUGGAUCAGAAUCCUAACAAAAAGCUGACCAAAUCACGUUUUAACAUCAUACUUUCAAAUGUUUGGUCUAAAUGCAUGACACAUUGUAACAUUAUAAACGGUUUUUAAGGCUAAUGGUCUGUGUCCAUUAAAUCCCGAGGCAAUUCCAGAAACAGCAUUUGCUCCUUCAAUUCUCUCAGACAUACCGGCAUCGGAUGAUACCAACAAAGAAAAUAGGCGUCCACCUGAAUCUCCUCAACCUGGUCCGUCUGGAAUGGCAUCCAACAAGUCUGGCAAAUUUUCCUAUUCCAAUGUUUACUCUUCUGACUCGGAUUCGACUGAUGACCAUAUCCCUCUUGCUGAAUUAAAGAGACGAACAACAAAAGUCACUUCUUUUAAUGAGCUUUUGCUCACACCAGUAAAAACUAAUGAAAAACCUAAAAAAAAUCGAAAAAAAGCUCUAAACUACAAAGAAACUCCAGUCACUAGAGAUCUUUUUACCGAGGAGAACAAAAGUCGUGCCAAAUUGAAUAAAGAUAUUGAAAGCUCCAGGGAAAAGUUAAGUACCGAAUGGUAUUGCCAUGGAAUCGAGGAAGACAGGCAGGCCGAUAUGAGGCAGUGCAGCAAAUGUCUUAAAUGGUACCAUGAGGAAUGUGUUGGCUUAACAGUCAAUGAUAUGGAUGAUUUUGAGUGUCCCGAUGGCUGCUAAACUUCGCCCAAUUAACGAAAUGUGCCAUUUUUAUGUAUAGGCUUUAUUAAACCUCCAUCGGAUAAUAAGGCCGAUUUGCGUUAUUUUUCUUAAUAUUUAUUUUUUGUUUUCUAGUUUUUUUAGAGAUAAUUUUUUUAAGUUUGUUAAAAUUAAUAUAACCUUAUAAGCACUUUGGUGUAUUAAGCUAAAUAUUAACAUUACAGUUUUUCACUUUAUUCAAUUUUUUUCUUAGCUAGGCCUAAUUCUUCAGCUAUUCCGCUCUGAAAUCCAGGGUUCGCACAAUACCGCAGAAAUAUGUUCAUUUUCUGCACAGGUGACUGGUGUUACAGGUUUAAUCCCCAACAGAUAUAUUAAUUGAUUUAUUAAUUUUCUUUUACCAAGAUAAAGUAAAUCUCAACCAUAGUUUCAUAAAAUAAUUUAUUUAAAAAUCAUACAUAAAUAUACAUACUACACAGAUAUGAUACACCGUUAAGAUGGUCCCUCCUAACAUACCCGAUCUGAAAAGCAAGGAAAACCAUUAUUGGAUGAGGAAAGUAAAUAAUAAUAUGGGAUAUUGUUUCAUUGUUUUGUUGAUUGAAUAGAAUUAAGAACUGCCAUUGAUUUUGCAUUGAUUUUACCUUGCAGGUCAAUUUGGCCUAUUUUAGAUUUUAAUGAAUACUGAGCACAUAUUAACUAUUUGUUUAUUUUGUUCAAAUCAUAAGGAUCAAUAGUGAUAAGAAUGUUAAUGUCAAUCUGGUCUGUCAGUUUUUUUUUGUAAAUCAUUGUUGCUAAACCAUGGCCUCAAGUUAUAGAUUGCUCCAUAGUUGCAAAUUACUUAAACCAAUGUUGGUACCAGAUAGUACCCAGUAGUUAAACCCAGCAUGUCAACACCUAAGUACUUGACAGAUAAAUGCAUUCCUUAAAAUCUGGGGGAAACUGACAAUCCUAUUUUUAAUAGAUUAAUUCUUUAUCUGGUUCUAGAGUAUGACAGAUAGUUUCGCUUAAUGCGGAUGUGAAAAGGUAGACCCUAUCUUUUAGCGUAAUUUUUUUUGUAGUUACUAGUAUGUGCUAGGAUAGCUUAAUUGCUGAUUUUCUAAGUAGGCCUAAGAGUUUAUAGGGCUUCUUGUUUUUGUUGUGUUAAAUAAACCCCAGAAAAGGCCACAUUCCAUCUUCGGCCUUCCUGUACCUUCUGCUUAUCCUCUGCUUCUGCUUUUGCUGCAUUUUUAUUGUUACUGCUUCCACCUCACUUGCUACUCCACGUGUUACCACAUCAAGUCGCUUGGAUCAUCACCUCCGGAACCUGUAUUCCUCACAAUCGGCUACACCUAAUACCGAUUGCCUUCCACUACCUGCUAGACAUUCUGGAAGCAUCCUAACUGGUCGAUCUGCUGCUGCCUCUUUUGACCUAAACGUAUAGCUGCCAACAAAGGAGCCCCAUUCAGAUCAGGUGGGCCCUGCUACCAGUCGGAGAGACUCAG